rnacentral:rRNA from 1 species
GAUGAACGCUGGCGGCGUGCCUAAUACAUGCAAGUCGAGCGAAUGGAUUAAGAGCUUGCUCUUAUGAAGUUAGCGGCGGACGGGUGAGUAACACGUGGGUAACCUGCCCAUAAGACUGGGAUAACUCCGGGAAACCGGGGCUAAUACCGGAUAACAUUUUGAACCGCAUGGUUCGAAAUUGAAAGGCGGCUUCGGCUGUCACUUAUGGAUGGACCCGCGUCGCAUUAGCUAGUUGGUGAGGUAACGGCUCACAAAGGCAACGAUGCGUAGCCGACCUGAGAGGGUGAUCGGCCACACUGGGACUGAGGCACGGCCCAGACUCCUACGGGAGGCAGCAGUAGGGAAUCUUCCGCAAUGGACGAAAGUCCGACGGAGCAACGCCGCGUGAGUGAUGAAGGCUUUCGGGUCGUAAAACUCUGUUGUUAGGGAAGAACAAGUGCUAGUUGAAUAAGCUGGCACCUUGACGGUACCUAACCAGAAAGCCACGGCUAACUACGUGCCAGCCGCCGCAGUAA